GGAUGUGAGGGCAAUCUGGCUGUGACAUGUGUCACCGCAUUGAUCACCAAGGCUGAUUUGGCUGCCUAGGCAGGUGUCCCCUUCCUCCCUCCUCACACUUCAAGUGCACCCCUCCCAAAGCUGCAUGUUCAGUGGAAGAGGACCACCUACCUAACAGAGCAGGACUGUUCUUGAGUCAAGGGAUAUGAGUAGCAGCACUCCUCUGCUAGAAUCUCCAAAUAAGCUUCCUGGGUCCAUUGAUAGGAGAACUUAGGGUAGUCAAGAUUCCAGGACUCCAAUUAAAAACAUUGUUUUUUUU
rfam:Ailuropoda melanoleuca scaffold888_86, whole genome shotgun sequence.